rnacentral:lncRNA from 1 species
UGUGCCGCAGGGGAGGAGACACAUGGACUUGUGCUGGGCUCACAGCUUCCUAAGCAAAAACAGCAAAGACCACUCCCAGCCUCCUCCAACCACAGGGCGGCUGUGCUGGUGGGAAAGGUGGUGUGUGUGUCUAUGUGUGUGCAUGUGGGGUACAUGCUUGUGGCGUGCACUCAUGUGGCAUGCACUCGUGGCAUGUGUGAUACGGUGUGUGUAGUGUGUGGUGUCUGUGGUCUGUGUAUGGUUUGUGUGUGUGUGUGAUGUGCUGUGGUAUGUAUGGUGUAUGUGUGUAUGUUUGUGUGUGAUUUGCUAUGGUGUGGUGUGUAUCAUUUGUGUGUGUGGUUUGCUCCUUUGUGGUGUGUAUGCUUUGUGUUUGUGCGUGUGGUGUGCUCUGCUGUAGUGUGUAUGGUUUGUGUNNNNNNNNNNNNNNNNNNNNGUGGUGUGUAUGGUUUGUGUGUGUGCUGUGCUGUGGUGUGUAUAGUUUGUGUUGUGUGUGUGCUGUGCUAUGGUGUGUAUGGUUUGUGUGUGUGUGUUCUGUGCUAUGGUGUGUAUGGUUUGUGUGUGUCUGUGUGCUGUGCUGUGGUGUGUAUGAUUUGUGUGUGUGUGUGCUGUGCUGUGGUGUGUAUGGUUUGUGUGUGUGCUGUGCUGUGGUGUGUAUGAUGUGUGUGUGUGUAUGUAUAUGUGGCAUGCUGUGGUGUGUGUGUGUCCCAAGCUGCACAGGGUUGUCACACAGCCCGAGUGCCCUGGUCCCUGCGUUCUUUGUAAUCACAGCCAUGGCAUCUGAGUGUGGCUGGGAGGGAGGCCACCUGCCUGCUUUCCGAGGAUCUCAGCUUUGGGGUGGUAUCAGGGGUGACAGAUGCCCCAGGCGUCUUCUCUCCAGGAGUCAGGGUGGGGUCUCCGAGAGAACAGCACUCAUUGUGAUGAGUGGUUCUGCUUUCUUCCCAGGCCGCCUGCUGUGGGCAGUGAGUGGAAUUUCCCAAGGCUGGCCGGCUUUAGUGUGGCUGUGCGGGAGGGCACAGCAGCAGCACCUGGGCCCACGGAGCUGCCGGAGCUGGGCCCCACUGCCCCCAGCCGCUUGCCCUGCCAGGGAAGGAAACGCCCAGUGGGCAAGAGGUGAUUAUAAGGGAGCCAACGUAGUGGCUGGCAUUUCAGCGAGGAUCCGAAGGCAACAGCACCAGAAUCACAAGUCAGGACAGAUCCCAGAUCCCAGCAGCGCUGAGCCCAUGCAGAUGGAGCAGCCUUGCUAG